AGGGCGGGACACGUGGUAUCCUGUCUGAAUAUGGGGGGACCAUCCUCCAAGGCUAAAUACUCCUGACUGACCGAUAGUGAACCAGUACCGUGAGGGAAAGGCGAAAAGAACCCCGGCGAGGGGAGUGAAAAAGAACCUGAAACCGUGUACGUACAAGCAGUGGGAGCCUCUUAAUGGGGUGACUGCGUACCUUUUGUAUAAUGGGUCAGCGACUUAUAUUCUGUAGCAAGGUUAACCGAAUAGGGGAGCCGAAGGGAAACCGAGUCUUAACUGGGCGUUAAGUUGCAGGGUAUAGACCCGAAACCCGGUGAUCUAGCCAUGGGCAGGUUGAAGGUUGGGUAACACUAACUGGAGGACCGAACCGACUAAUGUUGAAAAAUUAGCGGAUGACUUGUGGCUGGGGGUGAAAGGCCAAUCAAACCGGGAGAUAGCUGGUUCUCCCCGAAAGCUAUUUAGGUAGCGCCUCGUGAAUUCAUCUCCGGGGGUAGAGCACUGUUUCGGCAAGGGGGUCAUCCCGACUUACCAACCCGAUGCAAACUGCGAAUACCGGAGAAUGUUAUCACGGGAGACACACGGCGGGUGCUAACGUCCGUCGUGAAGAGGGAAACAACCCAGACCGCCAGCUAAGGUCCCAAAGUCAUGGUUAAGUGGGAAACGAUGUGGGAAGGCCCAGACAGCCAGGAUGUUGGCUUAGAAGCAGCCAUCAUUUAAAGAAAGCGUAAUAGCUCACUGGUCGAGUCGGCCUGCGCGGAAGAUGUAACGGGGCUAAACCAUGCACCGAAGCUGCGGCAGCGACACUAUGUGUUGUUGGGUAGGGGAGCGUUCUGUAAGCCUGUGAAGGUGGCCUGUGAGGGUUGCUGGAGGUAUCAGAAGUGCGAAUGCUGACAUAAGUAACGAUAAAGCGGGUGAAAAGCCCGCUCGCCGGAAGACCAAGGGUUCCUGUCCAACGUUAAUCGGGGCAGGGUGAGUCGACCCCUAAGGCGAGGCCGAAAGGCGUAGUCGAUGGGAAACAGGUUAAUAUUCCUGUACUUGGUGUUACUGCGAAGGGGGGACGGAGAAGGCUAUGUUGGCCGGGCGACGGUUGUCCCGGUUUAAGCGUGUAGGCUGGUUUUCCAGGCAAAUCCGGAAAACCAAGGCUGAGGCGUGAUGA
rnacentral:rRNA from 1 species